rnacentral:ribozyme from 1 species
AUUAUUUAUGAUACUCUGCAAUGGGAUGGGAUCCGAAGCCCCCUCGAGGGUUAAUACAGGCUCUCCCAUCUCCUAUUCCGACACGUCCUCGCCGUGCAGAGUGGUAACGUGUGUCACCACAUAUCCAAGCUUGGGUACACGGGCUUGAUCCAACCCCUUGGGCGGAUGGUGGCAUAUGGCAAACCAGGAGGGA